rnacentral:rRNA from 1 species
AGUGAACGCUGGCGGUAGGCCUAACACAUGCAAGUCGAACGGCAGCACAGUAAGAGCUUGCUCUUACGGGUGGCGAGUGGCGGACGGGUGAGGAAUACAUCGGAAUCUACUUUUUCGUGGGGGACAACGUAGGGAAACUUACGCUAAUACCGCAUACGACCUACGGGUGAAAGCAGGGGAUCUUCGGACCUUGCGCGAUUGAAUGAGCCGAUGUCGGAUUAGCUAGUUGGCGGGGUAAAGGCCCACCAAGGCGACGAUCCGUAGCUGGUCUGAGAGGAUGAUCAGCCACACUGGAACUGAGACACGGUCCAGACUCCUACGGGAGGCAGCAGUGGGGAAUAUUGGACAAUGGGCGCAAGCCUGAUCCAGCCAUACCGCGUGGGUGAAGAAGGCCUUCGGGUUGUAAAGCCCUUUUGUUGGGAAAGAAAAGCAGCAGGUUAAUACCCCGCUGUUCCGACGGUACCCAAAGAAUAAGCACCGGCUAACUUCGUG